rnacentral:rRNA from 1 species
GACGAACGCUGGCGGCGUGCUUAACACAUGCAAGUCGAACGAUGAAGCCCUUUGGGGUGUAUUAGUGGCGAACGGGGGAGAAACAUGUGCGCAAUCUGCCCUUCACUCUAGGACAAGCCCUGGAAACGGGGACUAAUAACGGGUAUGACCAUCAUGGGCAUCCUUGAUGGUGUAAAGCUCCGGCGGUGAAGGAUGAGCCGGCGGCCUAUCAGGUUGUUGGUGAGGUAAUGGCUCACCAAGGCGACGAAGGGUAGCCGGCCUGAGAGGGCGACCGGCCACACUGGGACUGAGACACGGCCCAGACUCCUACGGGAGGCAGCAGUGGGGAAUAUUGCACAAUGGGCGAAAGCCUGAUGCAGCAACGCCGUGUGAGUGAUGAAGGUCUUCGGAUCGUAAAGCUCUGUCGGCAGGAACGAAGGAUGUUCUUUUAAAUAGAGAAAGCAUUUGACGGUACCUGCAAAGGAAGCACCGGCUAA